UCUAAUAUGGCAGAUAAGUGCAGUAGAUUUAAGCUCUACAUAUAAAGAAAUAAACUUUUAUUAGAA
rnacentral:tRNA from 1 species